AAAAAGGUCCACGUUUUCUAUUCUAUGUUUAAACUAUUUGUAGCGAUAAAGAGAGAGGGCGAGAGAGAUUGAAGAAUUGCAAGAUACUGCAAAAGCUCAUUAUCAAGCAGGCUGUCCAAAAAUUCAGGAAUUAGCAGGUGAAUUCUUCAAAUCAAUGGACAGUAAUCGAGAUGCCCCAUCAACUCGUGAAGAGUGGCUGGGAACUGAAAGAUCAGGUCGUUGGAUUCAGCAAAUAUGGAAUGCUGCAGCUAAAGCGUUUCAGUGGCAGGGAACCGAAGCAUCAGGUCGUACUCGGGGAGCUGGAACAUCAAGUCAUGUAGAGUGGCAGGGAACUGAAGGAUCAGGUCGUAGUACUCAGGGAAAAUGGAAUGCAGAAGCUGAAGCGUUUCAGUGGCAGGGAACUAAAGCAUCAGGUCGUACUCGGGUAAGUUUUUCGCAGUGUUAUGUUCAUAUGUACAUAAAAAGAAAAAUCUUGCUAAAAUGGGACGACUUUGAAAAUUUUCAUAUUUUAUUGUCCGAAAAAAUGGAAUAUAGCAUUUAAAGCAUUUGAAGUGGUCCACUCCAUCCUCUACACUUUGAUUGUGCGUGCAAACAGAUCUUUGAUUUUCAGCAGGUUAAUUUUGGCAAUUUAGUGCUAGAAAAAAGUUGUUUUCGACACUAAACAAAUUGCUAAUGACAAAUUUGAGAUUUGUACACACAUACUCUCCUGUAAUAUUUUCUUUAGCCUGUAUUGACGGAAUCUAAAUCUAAGACUUGUCACAUAAUUUAAAAAAGAAUUUACCAACUUGACACGAAGAAUAAGUUAAAGUUUUCCUAAUAGUUUUCUUUUUGUGGCAGGGAGCUGGAACAUCAAGUCAUGUAGAGGGAACUGCAACAUCAGGCCAUACUCGGGUUAGAUCGGGUCGUUAGUCGGCUGGUGAUGAGGUGAAAUUGUUGGGCCAAGAUUUAUGGGACUAAAUGAAAUAAUAAGUGUAACAUGCCCUAAAUUCUAAAUUUUAGCAGUAACCUUAGUUUAUUAAUUUAUUGAACUCGUUCAUUUAAUUUGAAAUUUGGGACGAAUUUGUUUAGACGUGUAAUUUCAUGCAAUAACUUGAAAAUUUUUUACUUGUUUUGGUAUUUUGUGUUUCCUUGCUAUUUAAGUUUUUGGCAUAGAUAGUUACGUCAAAUUGAAGAGUUAAAAAUAGAGCAGCCUUGGGAAUUGAUUUACAGUUUGCCAUACAUGUCUAAUAAAUGCAAUGUACUAUAAUGAUUU